CACAUCACGUUGAAACACCAGUUCUCGUAGUUACCGAAGUUAAGCAACGUCGAGCCUGGUCAGUACAUAGAUGGGUGACUGGUUGGGAAUACCAGGUGUUGCAAG